rnacentral:rRNA from 1 species
CCGCUCUGCCAUUAGGCUUACACAUGCAAGUCGAGGGGAAACGGCAUUAUGUGCUUGCACAUUUUGGACGUCGACCGGAGCACGGGUGAGUAUCGCGUAUCCAACCUUCCCUCCACUCGGGGAUACCCCGUUGAAAGACGGCCUAAUACCCGAUGUUGUCCACAUAUGGCAUCUGACGUGGACCAAAGAUCCAUCGGUGGAGGAUGGGGAUGCGUCUGAUUAGCUUGUUGGUGCGGGUAACGGCCCACCAAGGCGACGAUCAGUAGGGGUUCUGAGAGGAAGGUCCCCCACAUUGGAACUGAGACACGGUCCAAACUCCUACGGGAGGCAGCAGUGAGGAAUAUUGGUCAAUGGACGUAAGUCUGAACCAGCCAAGUAGCGUGCAGGAUUGACGGCCCUAUGGGUUGUAAACUGCUUUUGUUGGGGAGUAAAGUGAGGCACGUGUGCCUUUUUGCAUUUACCCUUCGAAUAAGGACCGGCUAAUUCCGUGCCAGCAGCCGCGGUAAUACGGAAGGUUCAGGCGUUAUCCGGAUUUAUUGGGUUUAAAGGGAGUGUAGGCGGUCUGUUAAGCGUGUUGUGAAAUUUAGGUGCUCAACAUCUACCUUGCAGCGCGAACUGGCGGACAUGAGUGCACGCAACGUAUGCGGAAUUCAUGGUGUAGCGGUGAAAUGCUUAGAUAUCAUGACGAACUCCGAUUGCGAAGGCAGCGUACGGGAGUGUUACUGACGCUUAAGCUCGAAGGUGCGGGUAUCGAACAGGAUUAGAUACCCUGGUAGUCCGCACGGUAAACGAUGGAUGCCCGCUGUUAGCGCCUGGCGUUAGCGGCUAAGCGAAAGCAUUAAGCAUCCCACCUGGGGAGUACGCCGGCAACGGUGAAACUCAAAGGAAUUGACGGGGGCCCGCACAAGCGGAGGAACAUGUGGUUUAAUU